AUUGAACGCUGGCGGCAGGCUAAACACAUGCAAGUCGAACGGUAACAGGGAGAAAACUUGUUUCUUGUGACGAGUGGCGGACGGGUGAGUAAUGCUUGGGAAUCUGCCUUAUGGAGGGGGAUAACCACUGGAAACGGUGGCUAAUACCGCGUAAUAUUUCGGAUUAAAGUGUGGGACUUUCGAGCCACACGCCAUAAGAUGAGCCCAAGUGAGAUUAGGUUGUUGGUGAGGUAAUGGCUCACCAAGCUUACGAUCUCUAGCUGGUUUGAGAGGAUGACCAGCCACACUGGGACUGAGACACGGCCCAGACUCCUACGGGAGGCAGCAGUGGGGAAUAUUGCACAAUGGGCGCAAGCCUGAUGCAGCCAUGCCGCGUGAAUGAAGAAGGCCUUAGGGUUGUAAAGUUCUUUCAUUAGUGAGAAAGCGGUUAUAUCUAAUAGGUGUAACCAUUGAUGUUAGCUAAAGAAGAAGCACCGGCUAACUCCGUGCCAGCAGCCGCGGUAAUACGGAGGGUGCGAGCGUUAAUCGGAAUGACUGGGCGUAAAGGGCACGCAGGCGGUUAUUUAAGUCAGAUGUGAAAGCCCCGAGCUUAACUUGGGAAUUGCAUUUGAUACUGGGUAACUAGAGUCCUCUAGGGAGGGGUAGAAUUCCAUGUGUAGCGGUGAAAUGCGUAGAGAUGUGGAGGAAUCCCGAAGGCGAAGGCACCCCCUUGGAGAGACACUGACGCUCAUGUGCGAAAGCGUGGGUAGCAAACAGG
rnacentral:rRNA from 1 species